AUUGAACGCUGGCGGCAGGCCUAACACAUGCAAGUCGAGCGGAUGAAGGGAGCUUGCUCCUGGAUUCAGCGGCGGACGGGUGAGUAAUGCCUAGGAAUCUGCCUGGUAGUGGGGGAUAACGUCCGGAAACGGGCGCUAAUACCGCAUACGUCCUGAGGGAGAAAGUGGGGGAUCUUCGGACCUCACGCUAUCAGAUGAGCCUAGGUCGGAUUAGCUAGUUGGUGGGGUAAAGGCCUACCAAGGCGACGAUCCGUAACUGGUCUGAGAGGAUGAUCAGUCAAAAUGGAAGUGAGACAGGGUCCAGACUCCUCCGGGAGGCAGCAGUGGGGAAUUUUGGAAAAUGGGCGAAAGCCUGAUCCAGCCAUGCCGCGGGUGUGAAGAAGGUCUUCGGAUUGUAAAGCAAUUUAAGUUGGGAGGAAGGGAAGUAAGUUAAUACCUUGCUGUUUUGACGUGACCAACAGAAUAAGCACCGGCUAACUUCGU
rnacentral:rRNA from 1 species